AUAGCAUUAUACCGCGAAACUGCGAAUGGCUCAUUAUAUAAGUUAUCGUUUAUUUGAUAAUACUUUACUACUUGGAUAACCGUGGUAAUUCUAGAGCUAAUACAUGCUAAAAAUCCCGACUUCGGAAGGGUUGUAUUUAUUAGAUUAAAAACCAAUGCCCCUCGGGGCUCUCUGGUGAAUCAUGAUAACUAGUCGAAUCGACAGGCCUUGUGCCGGCGAUGGCUCAUUCAAAUUUCUUCCCUAUCAACUUUCGAUGUUUGGGUCUUGUCCAAACAUGGUGGCAACGGGUAACGGAGGGUUAGGGCUCGACCCCGGAGAAGGAGCCUGAGAAACGGCUACUACAUCCAAGGAAGGCAGCAGGCGCGCAAAUUACCCAAUCCCGACACGGGGAGGUAGUGACAAUAAAUACUGAUACAGGGCUCUUUUGGGUCUUGUAAUCGGAAUGAGUACAAUUUAAAUCCCUUAACGAGGAACAAUUGGAGGGCAAGUCUGGUGCCAGCAGCCGCGGUAAUUCCAGCUCCAAUAGCGUAUAUUAAAGUUGUUGUGGUUAAAAAGCUCGUAGUUGAACCUUGGGCCUGGCUGGCCGGUCCGCCUCACCGCGUGCACUGGUCCGGCCGGGCCUUUCCCUCUGCGGAACCCCAUGCCCUUCACUGGGUGUGGCGGGGAAACAGGACUUUUACUUUGAAAAAAUUAGAGUGCUCAAGGCAGGCCUAUGCUCGAAUACAUUAGCAUGGAAUAAUAGAAUAGGACGUGUGGUUCUAUUUUGUUGGUUUCUAGGACCGCCGUAAUGAUUAAUAGGGACAGUCGGGGGCAUCAGUAUUCAAUUGUCAGAGGUGAAAUUCUUGGAUUUAUUGAAGACUAACUACUGCGAAAGCAUUUGCCAAGGAUGUUUUCAUUAAUCAGGAACGAAAGUUAGGGGAUCGAAGACGAUCAGAUACCGUCGUAGUCUUAACCAUAAACUAUGCCGACUAGGGAUCGGACGAUGUUACAUUUUUGACGCGUUCGGCACCUUACGAGAAAUCAAAGUGC
rnacentral:rRNA from 1 species